AAGCCUCCUCCCUCUCUCCCCAUCUUCAACCCCAAAUCGCCACCUGUUCGUCAAUCCCAGCCUCGCCCGUGGAGUUUCUGCAACUGUAAAACCAGUCGAAAAUCGUCAUCGUCAUCGACCCAUCACUCGCCCAGCCAUGAUGGGCUCCGGCAACGGGCUCGCCCUCCUCCUCGCCGCCGCCCUCCCCGCCCUCUUCCUCCUCCGCCUCCUCUACAGGACCUCGCUCCUGCACAAACUGGCGGCGCUCCUCCGAUCGGUGGAGGACCGGUGCCACGCGUACCAGCACUACCGGAUCCCCCAGUACAGCGAGCACCUCCAGGAGAACCAGCUCUACCGCAAGGUCUCCACCUACCUCAGCUCCCUCGCCUCCCUCGACGGCUCCGACUUCACCAACCUCUUCUCCGGCGCCCGCUCCAACGACGUCGUCCUCCGCCUCGACCCCGACCGGCCCGUCGCCGACCGGUUCCUCAGCGCCCCGCUCUCGUGGGCCAACGAGGCCGGCGGGCCCGAGCGGCGGGCCUUCGUGCUGAAGAUCAGGAAGCGGACCGCCGCCGCGUCCUCCAGCCUUACCUGCAGCACAUCUUCCAGGUCUCCGACGAGAUCGAGCAGAAGAAGAACGAGGUGCGGCUGUUCAUGAACCUCGACGGGGGCGAGCGGCCCGGGGAGGGCGGCCCGCGGUGGCUGUCGGUACCGUUCACCCACCCGGCGACGAUCGACACCGUCGUGAUGGAUCCGGAGCUGAAGGGCAAGGUGAAGUCGGACCUCGAGAGCUUCCUCAAGUCGAAGCAGUACUACCACCGGCUCGGCCGCGUCUGGAAGCGGAGCUACCUCCUGCACGGCGCGUCCGGCACCGGGAAGUCGAGCUUCGCGGCGGCGGUGGCGAAGUUCCUCGAGUACGACAUCUACGACGUCGACCUCUCCCGGGUCGCCGACGACUCCGACCUGAAGGCCCUCCUCCUCCAGACGACGCCCCGGUCGGUGAUCGUCGUCGAGGACCUCGACCGCUUCCUGGAGAGAAAUCCACGGCCGUGAGCCUUUCCGGCGUGCUGAGCUUCAUGGACGGGAUCGUGUCCUGCUGCGGCGAGGAGCGGGUGAUGGUCUUCACCAUGAACGACAAGGAUCGGAUCGAUCAGGCGGUGACGAGGCCCGGUCGCAUAGACGUCCACGUGCACUUCCCCUUGUGCGAUUUCUCCGCCUUCAAGGGCCUGGCGAGCAAUUACUUGGGACUCAAGGAGCACAAGCUGUUCCCGCAGGUGGAGGAGAUCUUCCAGGCCGGGGCGAGGCUGAGCCCGGCCCACAUCGGCGAGAUCAUGAUCGCGAACCGGUCCUCCCCGACCCGGGCCCUGAAGACCGUGAUCGGCGCCCUGCAGAGCAGCAGUGAAGGGCGGGAGGUCCUGAGCAAAAAUGGGGCUACAUUGACCGGUAGCCGGUCCGGGGGGAGGCUGCCGAGCCCGCUUCAGUCUUUUGUAGGGAGAGCGUCCACACGGUUAGGGAGUUCGGGAAGCUGUAUGGGCUUUUGAAGAUGGGCAGCCGGAGGAGAGACAAUUCCAUGGACUUAAGUUCGGGCGAGAGAAGGAGGGGGUCGAAGCAUGAAGCCCAGAGUUGAGGCCAUUCGGAAUUGUUCAUUCGACUAGAAACGGGUUAACCUCGAGAUUAACAUCGAUGUAUAACUAGGAAAUUUAAUGCUUAUUUCUUAUUUUUCGCCAGAGGAAUCAUAAGUGAAAUUGCUUGAUCUUUGUAUAGUCAUGGCAAUGAAAACCGUUUGUUUUCUUCUUCGGCGC